UUGAGAUCUACUUUCAACACAUCAGAGUGACAGUUGGGCCUUGUGCCAUCCACCAGGUGAGAUCACAGCAUUUCUCUCCUCUGGAGGACACAGCAUCAAAGUGCCAUCUUGGAAGCAGAGACCAGCCCUCACCAGACAACCAAACCUCCUGAAUCCUUGAUCUUGAACUUCUCAGCCUCCAGAACUGUGAGAAAAUAAAUGGUUGUUCUUUAUAAAUUACCCAGUCUCAGUUAUUUUGUUAUACCUGCACAAAAUGAACUAAGACAGAAAUUAGUCUUAGCAUACUUGAGAGAAGUGAAGAGGGAGUUCAGCUCUGGUGUGGACCUAAGUUUUCGUGGAGGGUGCUAGAGGUCACUAGUGCUGGCUUUGGGAAGCACACUUUGUUCAGGGCAUGGGACACAUGCCUAUCAAUCCAGGCUUUCCCAAAGGCUCUUGAUUAUGAGUUCUGUCCUCAUAGUAGAUAGGAGACACUGCAGACAUUCACAUGUGGGAAGACUGAUGGGGAGCUCCAGCAUUCAGAUUUCCAUCAAACCACACAUCCUCAGCCUCAACGUGGUAUGAACCAGCCCAUGGCCAACACACCACUGUUUC
rnacentral:lncRNA from 1 species